GUGGGGAAUUUUGGACAAUGGGCGCAAGCCUGAUCCAGCAAUGCCGCGUGCAGGAAGAAGGCCUUCGGGUUGUAAACUGCUUUUGUACGGAACGAAACGGUCCGGGUUAAUACCCUGGGCUAAUGACGGUACCGUAAGAAUAAGCACCGGCUAACUACGUGCCAGCAGCCGCGGUAAUACGUAGGGUGCAAGCGUUAAUCGGAAUUACUGGGCGUAAAGCGUGCGCAGGCGGUUUUGUAAGACAGGCGUGAAAUCGCCGGGCUCAACCUGGGAAUUGUGCUUGUGACUGCAAGGCUGGAGUGCGGCAGAGGGGGAUGGAAUUCCGCGUGUAGCAGUGAAAUGCGUAGAUAUGCGGAGGAACACCGAUGGCGAAGGCAAUCCCCUGGGCCUGCACUGACGCUCAUGCACGAAAGCGUGGGGAGCAAACAGGAUUAGAAACCCGUGUAGUCC
rnacentral:rRNA from 1 species